rnacentral:rRNA from 1 species
CCUACGGGGGGCAGCAGUGGGGAAUUUUCCGCAAUGGGCGAAAGCCUGACGGAGCGACGCCGCGUGGGUGAAGAAGGCCUUCGGGUCGUAAAGCCUUGUCUAGGGGGGCGAUAAUGACGGUACCCCUGGAGGAAGCCCCGGCUAACUACGUGCCAGCAGCCGCGGUAAUACGUAGGGGGCGAGCGUUGUCUGGAAUUAUUGGGCGUAAAGGGCGUGUAGGCGGUUUAUUAAGUCAGGUGUGAAAUGCCGAGGCUCAACCUCGGGGCUGCGCCUGAAACUGGUAGACUUGAGGGCAGGAGAGGAGAGCGGAAUUCCCGGUGUAGCGGUGAAAUGCGUAGAUAUUGGGAGGAACACCAGUGGCGAAGGCGACUACCUGGACGAUAACUGACGCUGAGGCACGAAAGCUAGGGGAGCAAACAGGAUUAGAUACCCGAGUAGUC